UUGCCAGACUCCUACGGGAGGCAGCAGUGGGGAAUAUUGGACAAUGGGGGGAACCCUGAUCCAGCGACGCCGCGUGAGUGAAGAAGUAUUUCGGUAUGUAAAGCUCUAUCAGCAGGGAAGAAGAUGACGGUACCUGACUAAGAAGCCCCGGCUAACUACGUGCCAGCAGCCGCGGUAAUACGUAGGGGGCAAGCGUUAUCCGGAAUUACUGGGUGUAAAGGGAGCGUAGACGGUAAUGCAAGUCUGGAGUGAAAGGCGGGGGCCCAACCCCCGGACUGCUCUGGAAACUGUGUAACUGGAGUGCAGGAGAGGCAGGCGGAAUUCCUAGUGUGGCGGUGAAAUGCGUAGAUAUUAGGAGGAACACCAGUGGCGAAGGCGGCCUGCUGGACUGUAACUGACGUUGAGGCUCGAAAGCGUGGGGAGCAAACAGGAUUAGAUACCCGUGUA
rnacentral:rRNA from 1 species